rnacentral:rRNA from 1 species
CCUACGGGUGGCAGCAGUGAGGAAUAUUGGUCAAUGGACGAGAGUCUGAACCAGCCAAGUAGCGUGAAGGAUGACUGCCCUAUGGGUUGUAAACUUCUUUUAUAUGGGAAUAAAAUGUUCCACGUGUGGGAUUUUGUAUGUACCAUAUGAAUAAGGAUCGGCUAACUCCGUGCCAGCAGCCGCGGUAAUACGGAGGAUCCGAGCGUUAUCCGGAUUUAUUGGGUUUAAAGGGAGCGUAAGUGGAUUGUUAAGUCAGUUGUGAAAGUUUGCGGCUCAACCGUAAAAUUGCAGUUGAAACUGGCAGUCUUGAGUACAGUAGAGGUGGGCGGAAUUCGUGGUGUAGCGGUGAAAUGCUUAGAUAUCACGAAGAACUCCGAUUGCGAAGGCAGUUCACUGGACUGCAACUGACACUGAGGCUCGAAAGUGUGGGUAUCAAACAGGAUUAGAUACCCGAGUAGUC